UACGGGGGGAGCAAGCGUUGUUCGGAUUUACUGGGCGUAAAGCGCGCGCAGGCGGUUCGUUAAGUCUGGUGUGAAAGCUCCCGGCUCAACUGGGAGAGGUCAUCGGAUACUGGCGGACUCGAGGGAUGCAGAGGAAGGUGGAAUUCCCGGUGUAGUGGUGAAAUGCGUAGAGAUCGGGAGGAACACCAGUGGCGAAGGCGGCCUUCUGGGCAUUUCCUGACGCUGAGGCGCGAAAGCGUGGGGAGCGAACCGG
rnacentral:rRNA from 1 species